GACUCACAUCUUUGCGUUCGCCUACGCGUUCAGCACAUGCGCGACGGUUCUUUUUCCUCUUCCUCCACUACCGCCUGCCUCCACCGUCCGGCCAGCCGCUGCCGCUACCGCCAAGAAGUCAGGAAGUUCAAGAUGGCCGCCGCGGAGAUUCCGUCGCUGCGGGAGCAGCCAGAGAUAGAAGAUGCUGAUAAUUCUGAAAAGAGUAUAAAUGAAGAAAAUGGGGAAGUAUCAGAAGACCAAUCACAAAAUAAACACAGUCGUCACAAAAAAAAGAAGCAUAAACACAGAAGUAAACAUAAGAAACAUAAACAUUCCUUGGAAGACGACAAGGAUAAAAAACAUAAACAUAAGCAUAAACAUAAGAAGCACAAAAGAAAAGAGGUUAUUGAUGCUUCUGACAAAGAAGGCAUGUCUCCGGCAAAAAGAACUAAACUUGAUGAUUUAGCUUUGCUAGAAGAUUUGGAAAAACAGAGAGCCUUGAUUAAAGCUGAACUUGAUAAUGAGUUAAUGGAAGGAAAGGUACAAUCUGGGAUGGGGCUGAUACUACAAGGUUAUGAGUCUGGUUCUGAAGAAGAAGGAGAGAUUCAUGAAAAGGCAAGAAAUGGAAAUAGGUCUAGUACUAAAUCUUCAAACAUGAAGGGGAAGCUUGAACUUGCGGACAAUAAAAAUAGUGCAAAAAGACGAAGUAAAAGCAGAUCCAAAGAACGGACUAGACAUAGAUCUGAUAAAAAGAAAAGUAAGGGAGGUGUUGAAAUAGUUAAAGAGAAAACAACUAGAAGCAAGUCAAAGGAGAGGAAAAAGUCCAAAAGUCCAUCCAAAAGAAGUAAGUCUCAAGAUCAAGCAAGAAAAUCGAAAUCUCCUACCCUUAGAAGGCGAUCUCAAGAGAAAAUUGGAAAGCCCAGAUCUCCUACUGAUGAUAAGAUUAAAAUUGAAGAUAAAAAUAAGUCGAAAGAUAGAAAAAAAUCCCCAGUUAUAAAUGAAAGUAGAAGUCGAGAUCGAGGCAAAAAAUCCAGAUCCCCAGUUGAUUUAAGAGGUAAAUCCAAAGACCGAAGGUCACGGUCCAAAGAAAGAAAAUCAAAACGUUCUGAAACUGAUAAAGAAAAGAAGCCAAUUAAGUCUCCCUCUAAAGAUGCAUCUUCUGGGAAAGAAAAUAGAUCACCCAGUAGAAGACCUGGUCGUAGUCCUAAAAGAAGAAGUGUAUCCCCAAAACAACGUGAUAAAUCAAGAAGAAGUAGAUCUCCACUUUUAAAUGAUAGAAGAUCUAAGCAGAGCAAAUCACCUUCUCGAACUCUGUCUCCCGGUAGAAGAGCCAAGAGCCGAUCCUUAGAAAGAAAACGAAGAGAACCAGACAGAAGGCGACUUUCUUCUCCAAGAACACGACCUCGAGAUGAUAUCCUCAGUAGACGGGAAAGAUCAAAAGAUGCCAGCCCGAUCAAUAGGUGGUCUCCAACCCGAAGAAGAGCAAGUAGAUCUCCCAUUAGAAGGAGAUCUCGUUCCCCACUCAGACGUAGCAGGUCUCCCAGAAGAAGAAGCAGGUCUCCUCGGAGAAGAGACAGAGGUCGGAGGAGCAGAUCACGUUUGAGAAGGCGGUCUCGAUCACGAGGUGGCCGUAGACGGAGAAGCAGAAGUAAAGUAAAGGAAGAUAAAUUUAAAGGAAGCCUUUCUGAAGGAAUGAAGGUUGAGCAAGAAUCUUCAUCUGAUGAUAACCUUGAAGACUUUGAUGUAGAGGAAGAAGAUGAGGAAGCCCUGAUAGAACAGAGAAGAAUACAAAGGCAGGCAAUUGUUCAAAAAUACAAAUACCUUGCUGAAGAUAGCAAUAUGUCCGUGCCAUCUGAACCAAGCAGCCCCCAGAGCAGUACCCGUACACGAUCUCCUUCUCCAGAUGACAUUUUGGAACGUGUAGCUGCUGACGUUAAAGAGUACGAACGGGAGAACGUUGAUACAUUCGAGGCCUCAGUAAAAGCCAAGCAUAAUCUCAUGACAGUUGAACAGAAUAAUGGUUCAUCUCAGAAGAAGCUGUUGGCACCUGAUAUGUUUACAGAGUCGGAUGACAUGUUUGCUGCAUAUUUUGAUAGUGCUCGUCUUCGAGCUGCUGGCAUUGGCAAAGAUUUCAAAGAAAAUCCCAACCUCAGGGACAACUGGACUGAUGCAGAAGGCUAUUAUCGUGUGAACAUAGGUGAAGUCCUUGAUAAGCGUUACAAUGUGUAUGGUUACACGGGUCAAGGUGUAUUCAGUAAUGUUGUACGAGCCAGAGAUAAUGCAAGAGCCAACCAGGAAGUGGCUGUAAAGAUCAUCAGAAACAACGAGCUCAUGCAAAAAACUGGUUUAAAAGAACUCGAGUUCUUGAAAAAACUUAACGAUGCUGAUCCUGAUGACAAAUUUCAUUGUUUGCGACUCUUCAGACACUUUUAUCACAAACAGCAUCUCUGUCUCGUAUUUGAGCCUCUCAGUAUGAAUUUACGAGAGGUAUUAAAAAAAUAUGGUAAGGAUGUUGGUCUUCAUAUUAAAGCUGUAAGAUCCUAUAGUCAGCAGUUGUUCUUGGCAUUGAAACUCCUUAAAAGAUGCAAUAUCUUGCAUGCAGAUAUCAAGCCAGACAAUAUCCUGGUUAAUGAAUCAAAAACUAUUUUAAAGCUUUGCGAUUUUGGGUCAGCAUCACAUGUUGCAGAUAACGACAUAACGCCAUAUCUUGUCAGUAGAUUUUAUCGUGCUCCUGAAAUCAUUAUAGGUAAAAGCUAUGACUAUGGUAUAGAUAUGUGGUCUGUAGGUUGUACCUUAUAUGAACUUUAUACUGGAAAAAUUUUAUUUCCUGGCAAAACCAAUAACCAUAUGUUGAAGCUUGCCAUGGAUCUCAAAGGAAAGAUGCCAAAUAAGAUGAUUCGAAAAGGCGUAUUCAAAGAUCAACAUUUUGAUCAAAAUCUCAACUUCAUGUACAUAGAAGUUGAUAAAGUAACAGAGAGGGAGAAAGUUACUGUCAUGAGCACCAUUAAUCCAACUAAGGACCUGUUGGCUGAUUUGAUUGGGUGCCAGCGACUUCCUGAAGACCAACGCAAAAAAGUGCACCAGCUAAAGGACUUGUUGGACCAGAUCCUAAUGUUGGACCCAGCUAAACGAAUUAGCAUCAACCAGGCCCUACAGCAUGCCUUCAUCCAGGAAAAAAUUUAAACGAGAUGAAGAAGCUCUAAGGGUUUGAGUAAUUAAAUACAAAGACUGAAGAAAUUUCACAGCAGUUUAUUAAUGUAUAUAAACUUAUAAAUAUUUCUCCAGAAAAUUUGAGGAAGCAUGAUAUAUUUGAAUUAACACAAAGGGUGAUAUUUCUUUUAGAAAUGUUAGAUAAUGUUUCGUGUCUUAUGUGAAAUUUCACUGUAGAACUGUUUUAAUUGCCAAGACUGCUCAGAAUUACAGUGCUAAUGUAUAUGAUUGCAGUUCACAUAAAGACAAAAGCAUCUGUUAUAAAAUGAGUAGUAAUACUGGGUGGUUGAUUUGUUUUUAGCAGACUUGGCUUCAAUUUGGUCUUCAGAUAAAAUGGCCAGCAUAAAUGCUGUUUAUAUUCACAUUUUCCUAGGUGUGUGUGUGCAGGCCACAGCAGCAUGCCCUUGGUGUAGUCAGUGCCGAAAGGGGUCUGUUCCUUCUUGAGCCUGCCUGCAGGGAUGGUCUCCUCUUUUAAAGCAGGUUGUGUACAACAUUCAGUACACUGAAGGUAAGCUAAACCAUCAACAUCACUGGUGUUUUAAGCUGUUAUUUUACUGGAACAAUUGACAAAUGAGGGAUAUUAGCUUUGUGGCAGAAUUCCCUGCAUGUGUGAUAACUGAUCUUGUUUUAUUUUUUGGCAUUGCAACUGUGGCAUAGUUACAAUUUUUGUUCUGUUCAUCACAUUUAAAAUUUGAAGAGUAUGCUCUUGAUGGAUAGAGCGCCUUCAGUGUACUGUUUCUUAUUAACUUUAAUUUUUUUUUAAUCAACUUGCUAUAGACUUUAUAUACAUUUUGUUAAAUACAGUUCCUAGUGACAUAGAAACAAUGCGUAGUUUUCAUUUACUAAUUACAAAUGUUGAGGCCUACUUCUGAAAGUCCUCAUAUUUAAAGCUUAGACAACAUAAUGAAAUUUUUAACUAUUUGUAUGUCAUUUUGAAAGUGUACUGCUUUAUGGUAAAAGUGUUUUUCAUUUGUUCAUUGUUUUCAUUAUUUGUGAUCAUGUUGUCUUUCAAUACAGGCAUAAACCUUCCACUCUUGAACAAAGCAGCUGCUUUUUAAAAGCGAGAAAAAGGAAAACGGGGCACAGGCCAUUCAACGCCUUCUCCAAGGGGUCUGAUUUGCUGAGACACCAGCUUCACCUUCUUUACAAGGUGCAGCUCAGUGGAAGAUGAUGACAGCCAGAAGACAUGAGCUAAGGGUAAGGGACUGUUCUUCUGAAGAACCUUUCCAUUUAGUGAUCAAGAUAUGGAAGCUGAUCUCUGAAAAUACUCAAUAUGUAUCCUAAUUGUUGGUGGUAUCGUUUGAAUUGUAACUUGCAUUUUAGCAGCACGUGUUCCCAGUCAGCUUAUUGGGAAACUUAAUAAAAUAUGUCUGUCAUUACCGUAUUGUCUCCUGGUUUUUCCUUUGCUGGAGUUGGGUAUUUUUAUACUUAGUAUUAUGUUAAAACAACAUUUCUGCAUAGAUAAGGAGUUUAGGGGGCACUGAGUCUAAACUAAUAAGAGGUGAAACAACUAGAGCAGAAAUGAGAAUGUUGACACAAUGUGAAGAAUGUAACUGAACAAUGUGUGUAGAAAUGGUUAAGUUAGAGCACAUUUUGCAUGUUUUAUUUUGUGUAUAUUUUCACCAGAAAUUAAAUUUAACUUAAAAAAGAAACCCUCUUAAAAAAAAUUGAAGUGAGAAAUGAUUUGGCUUCUUAAAGAUUCACCCAUAAUUUAAGACACUUGAGUUAAUAUCUUGAGAGAGAAGUUGAGGAUAAUUUGUGUUUAUACAAAUAGACCCUUCGAAAUGGAGUUACAACUCAGUAAGGAACUUAAACUAUAUUAAUAGAUCAAACAUUGAAUUCUUUUCAGAUCUUAUAUACUCAGUUACUUGUUUUGUCUACAGUCCAGUUGGCAAGGAACAAGUUUAUUUAGCUACAGGAAGUGCUGAUAUAUAAACAGGACAUGGAAGUACUUUGGAAAAGGUAUAUUUUAGUAAGUCUUUUUAAAAAGUCAUAUAUAAAAUUAAGUCAUUUAUGUCUUCAACUGUCCAUUUAAACAAUGGCUGUUGACGUUGUUGCCCGCCCCCCCCCCAAAAGUUAUGCACUUAAAAAUAUUUCUUAAAAAAAUUUUUAUGUGAUUUUUCUCAGAUUUGUUUCACUGAGGUCGAUAGAAGUGCUUUGUAAAGUAUUCUGUGCUCAAAUAUGAUUGGGAACUGCUGGAUUAAGUUAAAUAAGGUAAAAGUGACCAGAAAUUUUCACCAAAAUUUUAAAAAAGUGACCAGAAUACUACGUGCAUUAUAAAUCACAAAGAGGAAGGUGUGGAGGAAAGUUUCCCAAACUACUUGACAGAACUUGCCCUUUUUCACAGAACCUACUGCCUGGAAACAGCUAAUUUAAUAUGACUUUCCUCACAAGCAUCAAAACAUGUUCAAAGCACUGAGUGCAAAACACUGCAGAGUGUCACAGUUGUGUAUAUUUCUGAUUUGGUAUUCCUAGUAAUAGAAGCAUAAUUUUUCUGUGAUUUAGAUAAUUCAGUUCAUCGUACUUGUAGAAGCCUGAUGGAUAUGGGGCUCUUAUUCUCCAUCUACCCGCGUUUUAUUCUGUGGAAGUAUUUUCAGUUGUUAAAAACAGUUAAUAAAAUAUUUCAGAGGGACAGGAAAAUUGGGUAAGUCUUCAGCUUACGCAAAGCAGGAUUGAGGGUGGCGGGGAAGAGCCCCUGGCUUUAGAGAAUUAUACCCACCCCAGCUGGAGCUAAUCACACCAGAGUGGCAGAUAAGAGUUUGGUCUGAUAGGGUGCUGGCACCAGGCUUUUGUAGGAAAUGGGCUGAAUCGGAAGUUUUCUGCUUGGAGGGCAAGGGACAGAAGCUGCAUACGCAUCCAUUGCACCCUGACUUUGAAGGGUCAUGAGAUGGUUGCAUUCUAGUACAUGUAGGGAAAGUAGUGCACCUCAAAUGCGGGAUGUAUUGGGUCAGGGCAGGCAGCACUGCAGGCUAGAGGAAUACUUGCACGUGUGUGUUGUUGGUGGGAGAGUAAAAGUAUACAGGAGAGGUAAACAAUGGACAUUUAUGAGCAAGCCAAGAAGUCAAGUUAAUCUAAAUUUCCCUGAACAGAACUACCUUACAUAAAUUUAUAAGUAUGUAUGCACAUGAACUUUUCCAAAUGUUUCUUCAGAAGCAGUGGUAGAAGUUGGCUUUCAAAGGUCUGAAAAAUAGCCAAGUCUUUAUUGUACUAGUUCAUAACUAGUUUGUCCCCCAAUUGCUUUCCUCUUCACAGAAUUCAUUUGUAUUGCCUGUUUUAACCAAAUCUUUCCCCCAUCAGUCUAGAGAUUGAACAUGAGAUAGCCGCAUCAUCUGCCUCCUACAAAAGCACUUUAGGGACUCAAACAGGAAAAGAAUCCCAGCAACUAUAUCUUUACUAAGUGAUCAUGACAUGUUAAAAUUAUUAGUCCAAAAGGUGCGUUUUGAACAUUUUCAUUUAUAUUUAAAGCAAUUUUGAACUAUGAUUGAAAACAUGAUUCA